rnacentral:lncRNA from 1 species
UGUGCAUAGUUCUUUUAAAAAUAGAGAUGGAAGUUAAUAUUCCAAAAAUAGCCCUAGACCGAAUAGACUUUGAAUUGGAUUUUGCUAUGGUGCUCCAAAGAUUAUUCUAAUCUUUUUAUUAUUCAUUCAUUUCUGACCAUCAGAUUAACUAUGGACCAUUCGGAUUUCAACUAAGUAGGUAUCCAUGUACAUAACUGAUGCGAUAAAUAUUUUAAAGAUU